rnacentral:rRNA from 1 species
UACGGGGGGGGCAAGCGUUGUUCGGAAUUACUGGGCGUAAAGGGCUCGUAGGCGGCCAACUAAGUCCGACGUGAAACCCCUCGGCUUAACCGGGGAACUGCGUCUGAUACUGGAUGGCUUGAGUGUGGGAGAGGAAUGCGGAAUUCCAGGUGUAGCGGUGAAAUGCGUAGAUAUCUGGAGGAACACCGGUGGCGAAGGCGGCAUUCUGGACCAUUACUGACGCUGAGGAGCGAAGGCCAGGGGAGCAAACGGG